rfam:Bacillus sp. SA1-12 scf7180000003354, whole genome shotgun sequence.
AUAAAAAAAACCCUGCAGAUAUUCUCUGCAGGGUCCUUCAAUACCUUUUAAAUAAAAGGCUGAAGGCAAAGGGAGAGGAGAAACCGGAGGAAGAACUUAUGGGGAAACGUAAGUCUUCUCCGCGG